UACGGAGGGUGCAAGCGUUGCUCGGAAUCACUGGGCGUAAAGCGCACGUAGGCGGAUCAUUAAGUCGGGGGUGAAAUCCUGGAGCUCAACUCCAGAACUGCCUUCGAUACUGAAGAUCUCGAGUCCGGGAGAGGUGAGUGGAACUCCGAGUGUAGAGGUGAAAUUCGUAGAUAUUCGCAAGAACACCAGUGGCGAAGGCGGCUCACUGGCCCGGUACUGACGCUGAGGUGCGAAAGCGUGGGGAGCAAACAGG
rnacentral:rRNA from 1 species